rnacentral:rRNA from 1 species
UACGUAGGUGGCAAGCGUUGUCCGGAAUUAUUGGGCAUAAAGCGCGCGCAGGCGGUUCUUUAAGUCUGAUGUGAAAGCCCACGGCUCAACCGUGGAGGGUCAUUGGAAACUGGAGAACUUGAGUACAGAAGAGGAAAGCGGAAUUCCACGUGUAGCGGUGAAAUGCGUAGAGAUGUGGAGGAACACCAGUGGCGAAGGCGGCUUUCUGGUCUGUAACUGACGCUGAGGCGCGAAAGCUAGGGGAGCAAACGGG